GGGGCCGAUCCGGAUUCGACGUGGGUCGCGAAACAGUGCAGGGCAUGUCGAGCACCAGUAAGCUCGUAAAUCCACUGGAACACCAAUAAACGCCAACGAUGAGCGUUUCGCUAUCGCCGCUUAAAAACCGGUAAUGCGCGCUGCACCGGUUUGCCUUUGGGCCGGGUGGGGCAACCCACAGCAGCGUCAUUCACAAAGGAUCGGGUCAGGAUGGGGUCACACGUCCUGGUCUUAAAUCACGUGAAUCGCCAUGGGCCGGUGCGUCGGCUGACCAAACCCCAUGGUUAAAACAGAACCAGCAGACUAAACAUGUAGAACUGCCUGCGGAGGGCUUGCGGACGGGGGUUCAAUUCCCCCCGGCUCCACCA
rnacentral:tmRNA from 1 species